AAUAAGAAUUUUAGGACAUAGUUUACAUUCUUAGGAACACAAUAGCAUAAGACAUCAUUUGAAACAUGCACCAUAUUGCUUAAGAUAAGCCACAGAGCUUGAAGUGAGAUCACAAACAGGAUAUAGUGCUAACCUCAAGAGAAUUUUAAUACCUAAAUCUUAUAAUGAUUGACUGAUUGACUUUUUACUCUAAACUAUUCUUAAAAGGUUAGGAAAAUAUAGCCACUAGUGGUCUACCACACUUCUCGAGAUGAUUGAGUUUUCCUAUCAAGGAAUUAUGUUUACAAAUAUGGUUAUAGUAGACAUGUCAAACAUUUUAGUUAAAGUACGUAAAUAUAUCUAAAGUAACAAUCUAUAUCAAUUAUAUGUUAUGGUUACUAAUAUGGCUUGAAAUUUUUUUAUAUUGAUAAGGAAAUAACUUUUUUUGUGAUUAAACAUAACAUAUUUAUUCUAUUGCUCAUGCAUGAUGGCAUUACGUGUAUAUUUACUUUAAUCAAAUCUUACUAUACGUAUUUUAUGAGAAUUUCUAGGAUCUAUCUUUUGUUUUCCUGUCAAGUCUUGUGACGAUUAACAUGCAAGCUAUAGAAGAAACGUCUUGUUAGAAUUUAUAGUAUUUAUCUUUUUUUUUUCUAGUGUGAUUUGUAUUUAGUUGAAAACUAAACUUAAGAUAUAUGAACUCUUGAUACAACUCUUUUUUGACAUUGCAAAUCUACAUUUAUCUUUUAACUUUUAAUUAAAUUGUUGCAAUUUCUUCAAAUGUUAAUUAGAAAUUCUGGUAUUCUUUAUAUUUUAUUCAAAAAACAUUUUUUAUUAUAACGAGUAUAGGUUUCCACAUAUGCUAAAAUUUGGCUUGCAUUGUGACACUAAACAUGUUCAAUUUAUUAUGUCAUACGAUUAUAUGUGUUGUAUUAUUUAUAUAUCAUAGAGUGAAUAUUGAUAUGACAUAAUGUUUCAGUAAAAACAUAUAUACUUGUUUAAAAUGAUAAUUAUUGAAUUUAUUAUCACGAAGUAUAGAUAUAAAGUGUUAUUGCAACAUCGUUUGCUAUGUGAACAUUUUCCAUGUUUCAUAACUUUUAAAAUAAAUGUUAUCCAAAUUUAUACAUGUUUAUUUGAUAUACAUGGUGCAACAUUGCAUUUAGUUAUUUUAUUUCACGAUUAUUGAAUUAUGAAACUUAGAAAUAUAUACAUGUACCAUACUUUUUGUUAAUAUUGAUAUUUUUAAUAUUAUAUAUUACUAUUUACACGUCAAUUUUAGAUAUGUUUUGUUUAUCUUCAAUUAUGGCUAAGGUACAUACAAAUAUAAAGUUAAUGCCUUGCAUUAUAUUUCACAAAGACAUAAAUGGAUAGGUUCAACACGAACAUAUAAUAUUAAUUUGCAUUAUUUUUCAUAAUGAUAAAGGUGGAGAAUUUAUAAUUAGGAGGCAUUUUAAAUUAUGUUCCAUAAGCGUAUAUUGGGUAGUUUAGGUACAAAGUUAGAAUAUUAUUUUGUAUUAUCUUUCACAAUGACAAAAGCAAGGUAAUUUAGACACAAUUUUAGGGGUUUAUUUAAAUUAUGUUUCAUAAUCGCCAAGGUGGGUAAUUUGGAUGAAAAAUCAGGGAGUGAUUUUGAAUUAUUUUUUAUGAUGACAUACAUGGGUAAUUUAUAUACAAAUAUAGAGGGUUAUUUUGAAUUAUCUUUUGUAAUGUCACAAUUGGGUAAAUUAAAUGCAAAAUUAGGGGUUACUUUAUUGUAUUUUCAUAAUGGCAGUAGUGGGUAAUGUUUUAUAAACUAUAAUAGAUGCAAUGGCUAUUAUCACUGACGAUAUUAGAGUUUAUCAAAUGAAAGGCUAGUUGUUUUUGAUUAUUGUCAUAAUUUGGAGGAUUUUGUUGUGUCUCUGUUGGGGUCUCUAAUUAGAAUUUAUAGGAUUUAUCUUUUUUUCUAGUGUCUGGUGAGAAUUAACGUGGUAUCUCUGUUGGGGCUUGUAAUAAUAAGAUUGGUCACAGCAGGCAGUGAAUCAUUCAGGCGGGUUCAGAGUUUAUUAGCUGAGAAUAUGUCGUGCAGAAUAAUAGUGCUGAUUUUGCUUCAGAUUAGGAAUCUCCGUACUUCUAUAGGUCAUAGGAGCAACGAAGGGGAAAUUCGUCAUGAACAUAGCUAUACUUUCUUACUUUUGUAUCCCAAGAAACACUCGUGCUUUUUUCUUUCCUUUUACUUAGGCCUUAUUUAGUUCACUUCAAAAACCAUAAAAUUUUCAAGAUUUCCCAUCACAUCGAAUAUUGCGGGACGUGCAUAGAGCAUUAAAUAUAAAUGGAAACAAAAACUAAUUGUACAGUUUGCCUUUAAAUUGCGAGACGAAUCUUUUAAUCUUAGUUACUCCAUGAUUGGACAAUGUUUGUCAAAUAAAAACGAAAUUGCUACAGUAUCAAAAUCUAAAAACUUUUUGAAUCUAAACAAUGCCUUAGUUGCAUAUGCAUAAAGUAUAAUAUAAAAAAGGAUGAUAAAAAAUUGUGUGCUAGAGGUCGCAUACGUUUCUUCUUGAUGUGCUUUGCAUUUGUAGCAUAUCACAACACUGCACGGUAAAUUAUUUUUUGUCUAAUUGGCCUGAAAUUCUUGCAGGCUGUCAGAGAUGUGAAUGAUGAGCCGCAGGUUGAAAAUUUAAAGGAUAUUGGCUUGAUACUUGUAAAAAAAUGUGAUGGUUUACCUCUUGGGAUCAAAGUAAUGGGAGGUCUCCUGAGUCGGAAAAGGAUAACACGAACCGACUGGCAAAAGGUCUUAGAUGAUUCUCUAUGGUCAGUAUCACAAAUGCCUCAAGAGCUAAAUUAUGCAGUAUAUCUUAGCUAUGAAGAUCUAGACCCUUGUUUGAAGCCUUGCUUUUUGCACUACUCCCUCCUUCCAAGGGGCAGAUUGUUUUAUGAUUAUGACAUUGUUGCCAUGUGGAUUAGUGAAGGAUUUGUUCAUGGAAUUUCACGUGACUUAGAAGACAUAGGAAGGGAAUACUAUGACGAGUUAAUACAGCGGAACCUUAUUGAGCCAGAUAUGAAGUUUAUUGAUCAAAGUGUUUGCAACAUGCAUGAUGUUGUCCGGUCCUUUGCUCAGAACAUGUUCCGAGACGAAGCACUCAUAACUCACAAUAGUAGAAUUGGGAUUGACAAGCUUAAAGCACAAAAGUUUAUUCGGUUAUCUCUCGAAAGCAAACAAUCGGAACAACCUGAUUUGGAGUGGUGUUCUCUACAAACACAAAUGUCACUGAGAACAAUGAUUUUAUUUGGUAAUAUAAAGAUUCAACCAGGUGAUUCAUUUCAUUCUUUUUCAAGUCUCCGAACACUACACUUGGACAGUGUAAAUAUUGUUGCAACACCCAAAUCUUUGUAUCAGCUGAAACAUCUGAGGUAUCUGUCAAUAGGAAAUAGUAAUAUAUCUAAGUUAUCAGAAGACAUUGGCAAGUUGAAAUUCUUGCAGUACAUUAGCCUUUCCGAUUGUCAGAGUUUGACCAAGCUUCCCAGUAGCAUCGGGGUGCUACAAGACUUGAGAUUUCUCAGUCUUCUCAGAACAAAUAUAAGUGUUGUACCAAGGGAGUUUUGUGGUCUAACUUCUUUGAGGAAAUUAUACGGAUUUCCAGCCCACAUGGACUGUGAUCACUGUAGUUUGGAGGAACUAGGGUCUCUCUCCCAGCUAACUGAACUUGAUAUCAGUUUCUUGGAGAAUGUAGCUUCUUCCUCAUCUGCUAUAGAGGCCAAACUUGGUGGAAAGAAGCGCCUAAGGUAUCUCUCACUUCAUUGCACCAGUAGACUUGGAGAUGAUGGCCUAUUGGUAAAAAAGGAAGAAGGGAUCUCUGAGAAAGCGAAGAGACAAAUCGAGGAGGUCUUUGAUGAGCUCUGCCCUCCGCAUGGCUUAGAACACCUUUCAGUCAACGGGUAUUUUGGUGAGCGGCUCCCAGGUUGGAUGAUGCCAGCAGCAGCAUAUAUGCCGCUUAGGAGCUUGAGGACUCUAAUGAUGGAUGACUUGGCCUGCUGCACGGAGCUUCCUAGUGGCAUGAGUCAGCUACCCUGCUUGGAGCUUCUGCAGAUUGUUCGUGCCCCGGCCAUCAAGUGUGUUCGCCUUGAAUGCCUACAACCAAACAAUCAAGUAGGUGUUGCGUUUCCCAGUCUACAGAAGCUGCGUUUUGUGGGAAUGUUCGAAUGGGAGGAAUGGGUGUGGGAGGAACAAGUGAAAGGCAUGCCUAUCUUGGAGUUGCUUAAACUGAAAAUGUGCAAGUUGAGGCGUGUGCCACCAGGCCUGGCCUUCCACGCAAGGGCUUUGAAGAAUUUAUAUAUAUAUGAUGUGAAGCAUCUAAGCUCUUUGGAGAACUUUGCUUCUGUGGUCCACCUCGAUGUGUUUAGAAACACUCACCUGGAGAGGAUCAGUAAUCUACCAAAACUGCAGAAGCUUGUCAUUCUCAUGUGCCCAAAGCUGAAGGUAGUGGAUGGCAUGCCUGCACUCCAGAGACUCGAACUGGGGGAUUAUGACAUGGAAACAGUCCCUAGGUAUCUGCAGGAUGUAAACCCAAGACAUUUGCUGCUGGAUUGUUCCUUAUCGCUGCUCACGUGUAUAGCAGCAGGAAAAUCUGGUCCUGAAUGGGAUAAGUUUCGCCAUAUCCAGCAAGUCAAAGCCUAUGCAAAUGAAGAAGGCUGUCCAAGGAAGUGGUAUGUGCUCUACACAAGGAACCCUUACCGCUUCGAGACAAAUAUCAGCCGCUCUGCUAUUGCCCAAGGUAAAUUAACACAGCCGCCUUCCAAUGUAAUUUAUUUUUUGGCACUCUGUUUUCCUCGGUUUCCUUCAAUCAGUUCAAUUCAUCUUCUGCAGCUCACGGACGCCGCAUAUGGCUUGCUUACUCGGAAACAUGUCCCAUUGAAGAUGAGUGGCCCACAGGAGGACACACGUAUGUAGAAAAACGUAUGCCCCUCUGCGUACGCUUCAGGUAAAAAAGUUGGCUACACGUUGAUUGCUUCCCUCUGUUUCAGUAAUUGUGCAUGCUUACACCUCCUUGACACGUGAUUAAUUGAACAUGGCAAGUUCUUUACCAUUUCAUUUCGUCCGUGCAACGUAUUUUUGCAACAUGUGCAGGUGCAACGCCUAUCGCCACUUGAAUGGCUGGUUUGAUGAAGCGUGCCUGCACUGCCAUGAAGCCGACAACAUCGCUUCCCCAUCUGAUCAGUGGACCCAAGGAGAAGUGCUUUCAGCCCGUAUAAAGACUGUUUGGGCAUGAGUGGAGGAAACGUCUUUAGUUUAGUGUGAGUAUGUGCAUCUUGGCUAUUCCUUGAUCUGCUUCUGUACCUUGUGUAUAAGAUCCUCAGCUUGUGUAUGUUCAUUUUACUGCUUUUUAGGGGCUUGUGUUCGAUCUUAUACUGUAACAUCUAGAAUACGUUUAUUGCGUUAGAAGUGUAAAGUGGUAUAAUAAUAAUAAUUGUAAUUUUAUCCAUCACUCAAAUGAAUGAUCAGAGAUUUUAGAUGCGUAGAGCUCGUCGAAUGCUUUCAGUUGCACUACUCAUAUGUAUUGUUUGGAAUUUGGAUCAUGGAGAUAUAAAUUUCAGAAGUUUUAAGAAAGAAAAAAUAAACAGGACCUUUUACUGUAGUGUGACGCGUGGUGGCCUUUUAUAUCCGCUCCAAGGCCUUUAGGUUCCAUCCAUAGCUUUUCAUAUUCAGGAUAAAAAAAAGAGGAGAGGGGAGAAAAGAGAAAGGAGAAGGGAGAAGGGGAGGAUAGGGCCUAGGGUUUUGCCGCCGUCGUAGCCGCCGCCGCCGCUGUCGGUCAUCCGUGGUGGUCGUUCUUCCUUCCGUGGAAAAUACGGUUUGGUUCUACCUUGUAUCUUGGCUGUUCCAUUGAUCUACCAUGUCCCUUUUACUGUCCAUGAGGGCUUAGCCAUGUUUGGCGUAGAUCGGAAUAACAAGGCUUUUAUGGCGGCAAGGAUCGUGGCGAGUUGGAUCGGAGAUAAUGGAAAGGUGAAGAGGCGGAGAAGAAGGAGUAGACGCCAGGAGUUUCGGCGUCGUGCUCGCUGUGGUUCUCUAGGUGAGAAGCCAAAUAUUAAUCCCCUUCAUCUGAUCAAGUUUUGCGGAUUAAAUCGCUUAUUUGGGAUUGGGUUUAGUGGAGAAAUUCUUGAAGUCAUUUUCGUUCAUGUCCUGAAAUUCUCGUCAGACUGAGCAGUCACUGUUCAUCGUAAUGUUAGGGCAUUUUAGAGGCUUUAAUAAUUUUUGAGCCUGUGGACAAAGUUGUAGAGGACUUCAAUAUCUUUCUUUAGACGCCAAGAACUCUGUCAGAGCAGUUAUAAUUUGUGAGAUAUCGAGUUUUCAAUCUGACUGUUUUCCAGUGACGAAAAUCUGGACAGUUUUGGAUCUAAACAGUUUUUGACCCUGUUAAUGAAAUAAUUAGGUCUUUGAUUAUUAACAAAUGUUUUAGGAUUUUUGUUAAGCUUUCUAUAUUGGUAAAGUUUGUAACUUUUGAAUAAGUAUAUCACCAGUUAUGAAUUUUUGAAGUUUGAUGUUCUGUUUUGAAGGUCAGAAAUAUUCAGUUGUGUUCUAUGGUUAAUUAUACCAUCUUGCAGAUCUCUGAUGCAAAACCUUACAAUACAAAAGUUGUAUAUAACAGAGUUUUACAUGAUCUGAUAAAUUAUGGUAAUUUUUGGAUGAGUAUUCUGAAGUAUAUGAAAAAGAGAAGAGUCGGUGCUGCUGUCUUGAUCGGUAGCGCAAACGGUAGAGGCUUGAAUGUCGGGUUUGGGGCGCAUUAGUGCGUAUUUGUUCUUACUCUUGCUUGUAUGUUGGUGUAUGUACUGAGUAGUAUUUGUGAUCAGGUGGUAGCACUUCGGAACAUCGCUAGUGUUUUUGUUCUCCUUCGGUAAAGAGGCAAGUGAAUGUAGCGGUGGUUUGCUACCGUUUUGGCUUGUUAUUUUUAUCACCUACAGUUUAUUGUCUAUAAGAAUGUCAUCCCUCUCAUAUCUAAAAUUUAUGAUUUUGGUAUAUUUAGUCUUAGUUAAAUUGUGGUCUUAUUUAAGUAUUUAUGGUGAUGGUAUUAUUUUAUAUUGUUAUUUGUGGCUAGCCCACAAACCUGAAUUUGAAGUCGGAGUAUCAUUGGUGAUUUAUUAAUUUUAUUGCAACAUACCAAGUGCAUUGCAUCAUUCAUUGGCAUUGGAAGUUAUGUCUUGACCUAUGGUCAUGACUGUACCGGUAUGCAUCAUGGGAUGCAGCUCCACACCUUAUUGGGUGUGCAGGCAGGAGACAUAUGCAUUGCAUUCAUAUGCAUUCAUGAGAAGUAUGUUAUUGAAGAGAUUUUAUCCACGUUAUUAUGAAGCUCUGUAUUAUUGGCUAUGUUCCAAAUUGGAAGACUGUUACUUUUAGUAUGAUAUUAUGUCAAUUGAGAACAUCAUAUUAAAUUGAUGUUAAUUCAAAUUGUGGUUUCAAUAGCUUGUCAAAACAAGUUCGCUUGCUGAGAUGUUUCGUCUCACCCUUGCUUUACUCAAUCCAGGUACUUGAUGCUUACUUGGAAGGGAAGAGACUUAGCUGCACGUCACACACGUAUUCAUUUAGAGACCUUGUGUUUUAAUAAAUAAUAAUUUGGUUUGCUUAUUGGUUUUGAAGGCGGUUGUUAAAGUGUGGGUGUUAAACUUAAUUCUUGUUGAAGUAACUUAUUUGCGUUAGGAUGUUCAUUAAUCCUAGUUUGGUAUUUUAGUAAUUUUUUUUUAUAUUUUAUUCUUCCGCUUGCUAUAAAUACAAAGAAGAUACUGUCAAAUUGUUUAUGGUUGUGUGCAGCUGUUGUUUGUGUAGUCUAGUAGCAUCCCGGUGUAUUUGUGGUUUUCGGGGUGUUACAUAUACAGUAUGGACACAUGCCACAUUGCAGAAAUAAAUGUUCUAUCUGCUACUGAACAUGUACACAGAUUGCAAAAUUAUAUGUUCUGUAAUUUCACUAUUUUAUCAGGCUUACGAUAGUGAAUGGUAAACUGGUUGUGAUGUCAUCAAUGGACUCAUGGCACACUGCAAAUACAUAUGUGUUACAUUUCUUAUGAACUUUUAUGUUUUUUUAUUCUGGAUUGGAGCAUGCUCGCACUCCAAAUCCUCCAAUAGCCCUUUGCUCAGUGGAGACAAAUCUAUAACCAGGUGUGCCCGGAGGAUAUCCCAGCUGCCCGUAACCAAAUUCCUCCAAUUACUAGUUUCCUGGGCUCCCUGGAAAUACCAGAAUAUUGUGGUGUCCAACCACCUCCUGCUGUCAAUGAGAAAGCUGGCACCUUCGAUAUCACUCUUGCGAUCUUGGCGAGCAGGUCACUGACAUCUUGGUGGGCACCAUUAGUUUUUGUUUUUAUUUAAAUUUAAUGCUAUAUACAUGUACCGUAAGAUUCGAUAUGACGAAAAAUCUUAAAAAAAUACAAAUUUUUUUUGGGAAGCCCUAGGCACCCCAAACCAGGUGAGGUCACACGGGCCUAUGCGAGAUCCGGCGUGCCAGCAAACUGGCUCCUAACAGAGUGUUCGAUGACAGAAUAAUUCCCAUCCCCGCCAAUACCAGUCCUAUCCAUGAAAAGGCGAAGAAGGCCCACGUCGGCAUGCUCUGUCGCUAGUCCCCACUAGCGCCUUCUGCGGGUCCCGUCACCAGUCCUCGCUGAUCGGUCUCUCAUCUUCUCCACCGGGACCCCUCGCCGCCGUCUCCUCUGCCUCUCAUCUUCUGCAACAACGGGUAGGCAAAGAGGUGGCAUGUGUGGCUCGCCGGCCGUUGAGCCGAGGCAGAGCGCGCGUCUCGGCAUCAAAGACAAAGGAUGCACGGGAGUCAAUUGGAAGUCGAUGCAGGAGGAGCGUAGGAGAGAGAAGGCACUGUGCUAUAUGUUUUUUUUUUGUUAUUUAUGGUGCAUUGUUGGUGAGCGUGAUGAGUCCUAUCCUACAAUGAGACUUAUGAGCAGUUUGGGAGUGUACCCAAACUAAUUUUGGGUUGGGUUGAAGUGAACCCAUCACGCCUUUGGGUAGAAGGACAGGGUUAUCCCAUAUUUUUUAUUUGGUUGGAGAUAAACUGUGUCGGGGUUUGGAUUCAUGACACGUGGGUCCUGCAUGUCAGCCUUCUAUCAAUUCUUCUCCCAUGGGUCAUCCUUUGAUCGUCCCUGACACCGCCGCUCUCUGCUCCCACACUAUCGUGGCCCUCUACAACCAAUGCAUCUCGCUCGCGCAGCUCUCUUGGCUUGCCUGCGCAUGGGCACAAUUGCCACGUCUGGCCAUAGAAGAGACCGUGUUCCGACUAUCGGAUCCCUACGUCCAGCAAUGGUUGUUGUUUAUAUUCAAUUCGAGAGCACCCAAAUCAGGGGUUACAAUGAAAGAGAGUGAAUCGACACGAGAUCACUCGGUGCUAUCAAGCCUCGUUGGUGGCGAGGAAGAAGAAAUGUUCCCCUCUCUCACUGGAUUGCUAACCAUGCCUACAAAAAGGAUGGAUACAAAACUCCCCGAUUUCUAGGAAGCCCCUACAAUCGAUUUUCAAGCCGCCUCUACAAAUCAAUUUUCAGAAAUCAUGCGAUUUUAGGCUAAAAAAUAGGAACAAAAAGUGGCACCAUUGGUCCACCAACCCUUCCCCUCACACAUAUCUUCCUCUACCACUGCACCCUACACUCAAUGUGUCUAUAACCUAUUUUUGGCUUGCAGCAUAAGCCACAAUAUUUUUUGUACACUUUGUGGCCGACGGGAUUUGAACCCAUGACCUUCCCCUCACAUGUAUCCUCUUCUACCACUACACCUCACACUUAAUCUGUCUAUAAUCCAUUUUUGCACACUUCGUGGCCGAUGAAAUUCGAACCCAUGACAACCCUCCCCCCGCCUAGCACGUAUCCUCCUGUAUCACCUCACACUCAAUGUUUUUAUAAUCCAUUUUUGCUUCCCAAAAUAUUAUACCGAGCAUAAAUUGAUUGUCUGAGGCCCUAAACGAUUUCAUAUGAACAAGUUAUCAACUAUAAAGUUUCAUAACUUUUUUAUAUCUAUAACUUUCAUGUUGGUAAUUUUUCCAUCUGAGAUCGUUUCAAAAAUUUGAAUUUAAAAUUUACAAGAUUCAAACGUAAUUUUUCAUGAUAAGAUGAUAGCAAAUGAAAAAGCUAUCAACUAGAAAGUUUCAUAACUUUUCGAAAUCUACAACUUUCAAUUUUGCUAUUUGUCCAUCCGCGAUCGUUUAAAAAAUCAUAAUUUGAAAUUUUGAAAAUUUAAGCAUAGUUUUCUUGACAACAUGAUUUCGAUAACAAGUUAGUCAUCACCGAGUUCAUAUGAAGCCAACGGUCUGGCUUCCACGAUGGAUUUGUGGACCGAAGCAGACCGGCGUUAGACAUGUAGAUAUUAUGAGACUCGAAAUAGACGUCUUGCUAUUGAUGGAAAUAUCGCCUACCGCUGAAAGCACAACAACAUUAAAUCCCUAAAGUAUUUACUCCCAGGAGUUGAAAGAACUACUAAGGCCUUUGUAAACCACUAGGCUACAGACCUUUGUUUCUGUAAACAUGCAUGCUUACACCUCCUUGACACUAGAUCAAUCGGACAUGGCAAAAACGAGAUAAACUUUUUAUACAGUUUAUUUGUAAAUCGCGAGAUAAACUUUUUAAGUCUAGUUAGUCCAUGAUUGGACAAUAUUUACCAAAUAAAAACGAAAGUGCUACAAAACCAAAAAAAUUUAGGCACUAAACAAGGCCUGACUGUUAGAACACCCAUGGUCACUUGGUUCUGUAGUUUGACGAAGGCUGCCUGCACUGCCGUGAAGGCGACGGCAUCGAUUCCCCAUCAGAUCAGUGGGCAGAAGCAGCAGUGUAUUCUGGGUGUACACAGAUUAUUAUGCAUGCAUUUUGGGAAUUAUCGUUGUUCUGCAUCUGUACCUUGUGCUCGUAGGAGCACAAAACAGAGCUUGUUCUGUUUUCAGACAUUGUUCACUCUGCUUUCUUGAUGCUCCUCAAGUUGCUGUACCCAAGCCAAACUAGCAUACGAAUUAGCGGUCUCAUCCCAGCCAUCAAUCAAAUGCCCAUCGCCCACUUAGCAAGUCUUCCUGUUUGCUACCAACGGGGGCUUCACAUCUACCGUCGGUAUUAUUAUUUCCUCAUUCAAUCUCCUCCGUUAAACAAGUCAAAAUUCCCUUAUAUAUAGCAGCAAAGAAAUGGACGAAUAUUGGUAUCUUUUAUGACGAGAGCUGAUUGUGACAUCCAUCCAUUAUUAUUAUAUUAGCCUGCCGUGGAGCAUGCAUGGACGGACGACGCCACAGUAGACUGAACUGCAACGUCUGUUGAACACAACGUCUGUCUGUUGCAUGAUGAUGCUGAUGAUGGCUCACCCUGUUGAACCGUGGAAGCAAGUUCGGACUGAACUGCAGCAGCAAUUUACAAGCCCGUUUUGAUCGCGUGUGUUGGAAUGGAACCGCUCGUGCCCAGGCUCUGGAUGGAUGGUUUUCGGCUUCCCUGUGUCUCGCUCGCACUGCUACCAUCAUCUCGUGACUCAAACAUCAUGUAUGCCUGGCCUUGUUUAGUUCCUAAAAAAUUUUGCAAAAUUUUUCAGAUUCUCCGUCACAUCAAAUCUUUAGACGCAUACAUGAAGUAUUAAAUAUAGAUGAAAAUAAAACUAAUUGCACAGUUUGGUCGAAAUUGAUGAGAUGAAUCUUUUAAGUCUAGGUAGUACAUAAUUAGAUAAUAUUUGUCAAAUACAAACGAAAGUGUUACUAUUCCAAUUUUGUAAAAAAAUUUGGAACUAAACAAGGCCAACUUUCAUCUACGUUCCAGUGCUAGAUGGCUCCCCACACUAACUUGGCAUAAGUUGGCCAUACAUCAUUACAUUAUUUAAUUUACAGAGGAUAGACAUUGACCAAGGCUAGAGCCUCGCAUAGUCAGGGGUCACCUUCAUCCAACAAACACGCUGAGUCAGAUUUGUCGCGAUCAUUUUGGAAUAUAUAAUCCCAAAGCAUCUGAUUCCACUACUAAAGCUGAUGAUUCUUAUAAUAUAUUUUUUAUGAAAAAAUAAAAAAACGCAGGAAGUGGCCUACAUUGAAUGCACAAAAUAUUGUUUCCACACAGUACAAAGAUAGAUUGCACAAUCGUCUUUGUGCCUGCUUGGAUUCCACCACUAAUCGAACGAAGCUGCCUGGCACUUUCCUUCUCACCUUGCACUGUCACCACACGACCCACUCCAACCACCACCUUCUUCCCUGAAUCAUCACCAUUUUCCUUCCCAGCUUCAAGCAGCCAAACGGAAGACACCAACCAGCUACUGCGAUUCUUGCGGACAACUUGACUCCAUGCAUGUUGCUGCUCAACCUUUCAUCACUAACGGGCAUGCCACAAUCCAGCAGUAGCAUCUGGUUGGUCAGGUCGGCGAUGUCCAUGCUGAUUCCUGCCUAGCCAUUGACCAAUAAUACAUCCUGUUGUUGCAACGCCUCUCCGCUUCCGGCCAUUGCUCAGCUCAUCGGACUCAGGUUUGUUUCCUUAACCGUUACGUUUCUGCAGUGGCUUAUGCUUAGCAAGAUCUGCCCAUAUAGCUACUGCCCCCAGUGACCCACCGGCACGGCACAGUCCAGCAGUAGUAUAAGGUGGGUCAGGUCGAAGAUGUCCAUACUGAUACCUGUCUAACCAUUAACUAAGAUCGAGAUCCUACUCCACGACCAAGCUAGAACGAACAACAGUGGCACUGCCUCACCAAUUCUGGCCAUUGCACAGCUCGUCAACUUGAGGUUUGUUUCCUUAACCGUUACGUUUCUGCAGCUAGUUGUGCACAGAUAGUGCCCACUGUGUUGUAAUUGUUAUAUGUCUCUGCAGCUGCUUAUGAGUAUCUAGAUCUGUGUAUAUAGUUGCCACUGUCAUGUACUUGUAUCAAUAAUGAACGAGAAGUCAGUACUAGUGCCGCGAUGGCUGCAUGUACAGAUGGCAGAUGAUUGAAUCUUUGUUGUAUAAAAUUGAAAUGCAGUGUUGAAAUUAACAUCUGUUCUAAUUUCGUUACAGCAAAAACGGAAGUUCCCAAUCAUGGCCGGUGUCCUAGAUGCUUUGGCAUCCUACAUCCAAAACAUGCUUCUGCAGAUGGCGGCAGAAGAGGUGCAUAUGUUGCUUGGGGUGUCCGGUGAGAUUGACAACAUGGACAUCAAGCUUCGGGAUCUAAAGAACAUCCUUGCUGAUGCUGAUAGGAGGAACAUCACUGACAAAAGCGUCCUAGCAUGGGGGAUAGAGCUAAGGAAUGCUAUGUAUGAUGCCACUGAUAUCCUCGACCUUUGCAAGCUCAAGGCUAUGGAGCAAGGCCAAAGGCAUGAUGCCGGAUGCUUCAACCCGUUGCUCUUCUGCAUACGGAAUCCCCUACAUGCCCACGAUAUUGGAAGCCGCAUCAAGAACCUUAACAAGAGGCUAGACGACAUCAAGGCACGUGGUGCAUCAUUCAACUUCCUGAACCUUAGUACUUAUGAGGAUCGUGGAAGAAAUGUGAUAUCAUAUGGUUCUAGUACCCGUGAGACAUCGGGGGGCCUUGUUGAGUCUGGUUUGGUUGGUGAGAAGAUUGAAGAGGACACAAUAAAUCUUGUGGAGAUGCUAACAAAGAAGUAUCCUACCGACGACAACAAAUCCAACAAAAUAAUGGUUUUCUCUAUUGUGGGAGCUGGUGGGAUUGGUAAAACCACCCUUGCUCAAAAGAUCUUCAACAAUGAAGUCAUAAAGGAUGAGUUCAAAAAGAAAAUAUGGUUGAGUGUCAACCAAGGCUUUGAUGAUAUUGAAAUGUUAAGGAGGGUUAUUAUCGAAGCUGGUGGAAACCACCAUGAUUGUGGAAAUGCAAAGGUGUCACUAGAACACACUCUAAUAGAAGCUUUGAAGGGACAAAAAACCUUAUUAAUAAUAGAUGAUGUCUGGGACAGCCGUAUAUGGGAAGGCGUGCUUAGAACUCCCUUUGUCAAUGCCAUGCUAGCUGAAGGUAGCCGUGUGCUGGUCACCACAAGGCAUGACACAGUGGCACGUCAGAUGAAGGCGGAGGAGCCCUACCAUCGUAUUGACAGACUUGGGCUUGAAGAUGCAUGGAUGCUGCUCAAGAAGCAGGUUCAAGUUAAUCCAUACAUUUAUUACUUUUCAUUAAUCAUGCGUUAUGUUUUCUAGCUGCAUCACUUUAUUUGCUUCUAUCUUAGUAGUGGGAACUAGAUUCCCUGUCUUGGCAGCAACUUCUAUUUUUCUUCUUUGUUUCAACCAUGUAGUUCUAUGGUUGUGACCUUCGAAAAAUAAGAUAAAGAAACAAAAUGACAUACUUCCUUGCGUUAGCAUUGUAAUAUCUUGCAUAUGCAGUCAUGUAGACUCCACAUAUAGUGCAGGUAUUCACUUUUUUUGUUAAAGCAAUUCAAAAUUGGACAUUGUAUUACACUCCCUCCUUUUUUUAAAAGAACUUGAGAUCUGUAGGUUCGAUUGGAUCUGUAAUUGGCUGUAAUGUAGGCAAUAUGAAAUGGCGAAUUAGUAACUAAUUUAAAUUCACAAACUAAGGAAACCAUAAUAAGUAUGUUUAUCACUAUUCUUUUUAGAGUAAAAUAAAAAAAAGGUCUUUGAAGUUAUUCUGUAUGAUGUUGUCUGAUCCUCAAACUCUCAAAAUGCUUGCAUUGUGAGGUUAUAGAAAUUGUCCUUGUAUGGAAUGUAAGUCCCAAGCCCUUAUAAUGCUACUUUCAUCCACAGGACUUGUCACGUGUUGUCAUCUAGUCUUGUUCUUAAUGAGCCCUAACACACUAUACACCCUCAUGUGGCAUGUCACAAUUGAUCCAUUUGUGGUUCAGUAUUGAUGAGUAGUCUAACACGAGGUUAUGUAUAUCACACAUAUUGGGCUGUUGCACUAUAUCCGAGCGAAGAGAGAGAGAGGGGGAACUCGGGAUGGUGGUCCAAAGGCCAACAUAUAUGUGUGGUGCCCAUAGAUAGAAUCGACUAGUACAGAUAUUAUGAGACAUAUAGGUAGCAUUUGGUUAGGAGAUAAGGUGGGAUGGAAGAAUGAUCUUGUCUCUGGUUGGAGGGAUGCAGUGACCCUAUUUUCUUUUUGGUUGGAAAGCGAUGGGACCAAUUUGUUUUCUAUUUGGUCUUAGAUAUAAUAACUCAAAUCAUGUGGGUCCCAUUUGGCAGUUUUAAUUCUCUUUUUCUUCCUCCUCUCCUUACCUUGUUCACGAACUGUAGCCACCCAAAGGACUCGCAAGUGCGACACCCUCUGCCUCCUCCCGUUGAGUCGGCCAUGGCUUAUGCCACCUGCUUCAUGUGUAGCCACCCAAAGGACUCGCGCACGGUGGCUCCUAAAAGGUUGCACGACGGCAGCCUCUGAGCUCACGCGUGGAGGCUCCUCUUAUCUCGGCACAGUGGUGCCCCCCCAAGGUCAUGCAAGGCGGCAAUCUCCCGAGCUCGCGCGAUGGUGGCCCCCUGUGCUCCUCGUCUUCAUUGACCUCCCGUAUGUGCACCUCCUCUUGUCUUCUUCCUCACCAGUGAGUGGGCUUGUCCCACCUCAGGUGACCCCCUGUUCGUCAAAUUUCUGCACAAGCACGCAUGUGAGCAACUAUCGUGGUCGUGUAGCCACCAUGCUUGCGCAGCCAAAUAGAAUUGGGGUAUGAAAUAGUUUAAGGAUCUAAAUGUACAGUUUUACAUUUAGUGAUCUGAUAGAAGAUGCCGUAGUUUAGAGACUAUGGGUGUAAUUUGCUCUAUGACAAUGGUUGGAAUCGCUUCCAAUCGCCUCCCAUCGCCUCCGCUAAAAACUUUUUUCUUGAUUUAAUUUGUGGAAGGGUAAUAACAUCAUUGUACAAGGUUCUCUGAAACCCCAACCCCUAUCAUCGGCAGCGACGGCUCCCUGUAACACGCAUUGGUGGACGCAGACGGGUGGAACUCAUAGAAGAUUUAAAAAAACUUAAGAAGAAGAUUUUUAUCUAACUAGCUAUAGUACUUGAAUCAAACAUCCUAUCUAUGUUACUCAAAAUAUUACUUUUACAAUUAUGAAUUUACCCUUUUACCCUUCAUUAAAAAAGAAAUACAAAAGGAGAAAUUACCGCUCCUCUAUUUAGGGUCUUAAUUCCUAUAAUUUUGGAGGCGAUGGGAGGCAAUGUGACAUCUAUGGCCCACCGACCAUAGACACACCUAUUGCCUCCCAUCACCUUGCUUCCAUCGCUUUGCUUCUCAUCGCCUCUCCAACCAUUGUAAAAAUAUUAAUUAUAGUAUUAUUACUGGACGUACGUGUAUGUGGAGAAGGCAUUGCUUAUGAAUUGUAUACAACAGUAUUUAAAAUUGAUUUUUGAACGUGAAGCUGGUGGAAGCGUGAUAUAUAGCAAAGAAUCCACAUACCAACGCUAAACUCAUGGUGGCAAUUAAUGUACAUGCUUUGUAAACUGCAAUUGCCCACUGGGUGAAAUCUAAGGAAGAGUGGGCCAAGAAACUAAUAUUAGACCUAGUACCACUUAGAAUAUUAAUUAUUUUAUAACAAAAUUUGAAACUAAACCAACCGCAUUUGUUGGGAGUAGACUAUACAGCUUUCAACCGUUUAUUUGUAUUGGAAUGCACGAGGAUAUUACAUGCUGAGUUAUUAGUGUAGUGUACUGGCACAGUAGCGUAUAUAUGGAUGUGUGUCACUUGUAAUGGAAACAAUUAUUUCUAAUAUUUUUGCUUGGCCAUACGUACGUUUGUGCGCACCUUCUAGUGAGCAUUCUUCCUCAAUGUUGAGUUUUGUUUGCACGAGCACUGUAGCUUUAUUACACAGAAUUUCUAUCGACUAUUGCGUCAACCCAUGUUCUGGCAUGGGCUCGAAUUUUAUGAGAUAUAAGUAUUAAGUAUUGUUCUGGUCAUUUCAAAUUAUAAACCAUUUUGGCUAUUAAAGAUAUAUUAUUUUUCAUUGUACCUAACAGUAUAUCUAAGUGUAUAGAAAAAACUAUAUACUUUCGAAACAUGUUAUAAUUUGAAAUGCGCGGAGUAGAUCUGAAUAAUAAUGAAAUAGUCAUAAAUUAUAUGUUUUUCUCUUUGUCUAAUCUCUAACAUAAUAGACAUGAUAGAUACUCUAUAGUCUAUAUCUAGUUAUCAUAAACUUAUUAGUUACUAUUUUUUCAACAAACUAAUCUAUAUAUUUUUAUCCAUAUUACUUCAAAUAUGCAAUUACUUUGAAACCUUACCAUUAAUCACGGUGGCUCUUGUUUUGUUAUGUAUCAAAUUUCUUAUUGACUGCAUCAGAUUUAUUUUUUCUCUCCUUAAGUUAAGUUGAACCCCUUAUGCUUAUUGUAUCUUUCAUUAACUCUUCUUUUUGUAUUUUUGAAAUAAGAAUUUUAGGACAUAGUUUACAUUCUUAGGAACUACAAUAGCAUAAGACAUCAUUUGAAACAUACACCAUAUUGCUUAAGAUAAGCCACAGAGCUUGAAGUGAGUUCACAAACAUGAUGGCUAAGGAAAUAUUAACCUCAAGAGAAUUUUUUAUUCUAUUGCUAAGGAAAUAACUUUUUUGUGAUUAAACAUAACAUAUUUAUUC
rnacentral:lncRNA from 1 species